rnacentral:tRNA from 1 species
AAGGUUUUAGCUUAUUUAAAAGUAACUGUUUUGCAGACAGUAGAUAACAUCAUUUGUUAAGUCUUA